CACUUCUUGGAGCCUCCGUUUGUUUCAGCUAAAACGAGGAUGAAAUAGAACUAACAUCGUAUUGCUGUAAGCAUCAGCACCAUGCCUGUUACAUACUAGAUGACCAUAAAGCCUGGAAACAUAUAUAAUAUGAUUAUGAUUCAUAAUAGAAUGCCCAUGGGCAAUUCAUUAUGUACUUGUUCAUGUUUCCAGGCCUGGCAGCCACCCUGCAGUAAGAAGUCACUCACUAGGAGUGAUCAUUAUAGCUCCUUUGUCUGGAUUCCUAAGAAACAUUCACAUUUCUCUGUCUCGCAGGAGCCCUUCAGACUCGGACUCCCAAGAGCCCACCUAUCACAAUGUACCAGCCUGGGAAGAGCUGCAACCAGUGUACACUAAUGCAAAUCCUAGAGGAGAAAAUGUGGUUUACUCAGAAGUACGGAUCAUCCAAGAGAAAAAGAAACAUGCAG
rnacentral:sRNA from 1 species